AUACGUAGGGUGCGAGCGUUGUCCGGAAUUACUGGGCGUAAAGAGCUCGUAGGUGGUUUGUCGCGUCGUCUGUGAAAUUCCGGGGCUUAACUCCGGGCGUGCAGGCGAUACGGGCAUAACUUGAGUACUGUAGGGGAGACUGGAAUUCCUGGUGUAGCGGUGAAAUGCGCAGAUAUCAGGAGGAACACCGGUGGCGAAGGCGGGUCUCUGGGCAGUAACUAACGCUGGGGAGCGAAAGCAUGGGUAGCGAACAGGAUUAGAUACCCUGGUAGUCCAUGCCGUAAACGGUGGGCGCUAGGUGUAGGGGUCUUCCACGACUUCUGUGCCGUAGCUAACGCAUUAAGCGCCCCGCCUGGGGAGUACGGCCGCAAGGCUAAAACUCAAAGGAAUUGACGGGG
rnacentral:rRNA from 1 species